rnacentral:ncRNA from 1 species
UACCUGGUUGAUCCUGCCAGUAGUCAUAUGCUUGUCUCAAAGAUUAAGCCAUGCAUGUCUAAGUAUAAAUCGUUUAUACAGGUGAAACUGCGAAUGGCUCAUUAAAUCAGUUAUAAUUUAUUUGAUAGUACCUUACUACUUGGAUAACCGUGGUAAUUCUAGAGCUAAUACAUGCUAAAACCUCCGACUUCUGGAAGGGGGUGUAUUUAUUAGAUAAAAAACCAAUAUCGGGCAACCGAUUCCCUUGGUGAUUCAUAAUAACUUUUCGAAUCGUAUGACUUUACGUCGACGAUGAAUCAUUCAAAUU